rnacentral:rRNA from 1 species
GACGGAGGAUGCAAGUGUUAUCCGGAAUCACUGGGCGUAAAGCGUCUGUAGGUGGUUCGAAAAGUCCACUGUUAAAAAUUGAGGCUUAACUUCAAAGAUGCCGUGGAAACUUUCAAACUAGAGUAUGGUAGGGGUAGAGGGAAUUUCCAGUGGAGCGGUGAAAUGCGUAGAGAUCAUGAGGAAGACCAGUGGCGAAGGCGGGUCUCUGGACAGUUCCUGACACUGAGACACGAAGGCCAGGGGAGCAAACGGG